rnacentral:rRNA from 1 species
CGACGUAGGUAACCUACCUGGUAGCGGGGGAUAACUAUUGGAAACGAUAGCUAAUACCGCAUAAGAGUAGAUGUUGCAUGACAUUUGCUUAAAAGGUGCAAUUGCAUCACUACCAGAUGGACCUGCGUUGUAUUAGCUAGUUGGUGGGGUAACGGCUCACCAAGGCGACGAUACAUAGCCGACCUGAGAGGGUGAUCGGCCACACUGGGACUGAGACACGGCCCAG